UGGCUCGUAGCUCAAAAGCAGAGCAAUCGGCUGAUAACCGAUCGACGACGGAGCGUUACCGUCCGGGCCAACCA
rnacentral:tRNA from 1 species